AGUGAACGCUGGCGGUAGGCCUAACACAUGCAAGUCGAACGGCAGCACAGUAAGAGCUUCCUCUUACGGGUGGCGAGUGGCGGACGGGUGAGGAGUACAUCGGAAUCUACUUUUUCGUGGGGGAUAACGUAGGGAAACUUACGCUAAUACCGCAUACGACCUACGGGUGAAAGCAGGGGAUCUUCGGACCUUGCGCGAUUGAAUGAGCCGAUGUCGGAUUAGCUAGUUGGCGGGGUAAAGGCCCACCAAGGCGACGAUCCGUAGCUGGUCUGAGAGGAUGAUCAGCCACACUGGAACUGAGACACGGUCCAGACUCCUACGGGAGGCAGCAGUGGGGAAUAUUGGACAAUGGGCGCAAGCCUGAUCCAGCCAUACCGCGUGGGUGAAGAAGGCCUUCGGGUUGUAAAGCCCUUUUGUUGGGAAAGAAAAGCAGCAGGUUAAUACCCCGCUGUUCUGACGGUACCCAAAGAAUAAGCACCGGCUAACUUCAUG
rnacentral:rRNA from 1 species